GUGCUUGUGGUGUAGUGGCUAUCACAUCCGUCUAAUACGCGGAAGAUCCUAGGUUCAAGCCCUGUCAGGCACA